GUGGAUACAUCAUUGAAGGCAAUGAUAUCAGCUUCAGCCUCAUAGAAGGCACCCGACCAACUCGCCAAUGGUGUCGGAGAAAUUGAAAUAUCGGAUUGAACCUUUACCGGUGUCCUCUGCUCACAUCCCUUUUCCAGGGAUGUUAGGGUCAGUAACACUUCGGAUGAUGUUGAAUUGAAUUGAAUUGUGAAACAUGAAGCAUUCAUGCUUGGAACUUCCAAGGGCAAGCACACCAACAAAGGAUUUGAUCUUUUCAAUUCCACUGCACCAAUACUAGAUCUAAAUGAGAAGCUUAUUGUGGUUGGGCGAGUCAUCAAGGGAGAGGAUGUUGUUCAAGUAACUGAAUUUGCAUCUCAUUGUUAUGGACGGUGAACAUUGUGGAUUUCACCUGGGGCUUCAUCAAUCAAGUGUUUUAAGCCUUAAUGUUGUUUUUUGCCAUUGCAUGUGUAGUUGUCAACAAAGGGAUUAUACAAUAGCCACUGACAACCGAGUCCACAGUGAAGAAGAUUGAAGACAACAACACUUUGGUUUUCAUUGUAGACAUGCAUGCUAAUAAGAAGAAGAUCAAGGAUGCAGUGAAGAAAAUGCAUGACAUCUAAGCCAAGAAAGUGAACACUUUGAUCAGGUGAGCAUUUAUGCAGUCAUUGGUAAAUUGAAAUUUGUUUAUAAUCGAAUCACCUAUCUUCAUAUAAAUUUAUGUGUAUUACUUUCUUGUAAGCCUGAUGGAACACCCCAUUGUGAUUCCUUAGAUAUAGCAAACAAGAUUGGAAUCAUCCAAGGUGUUUCCUAGCUUU